GGGGUUGUGGCUCAGUGGUAGAGCACUCGCCAACAUGUGUGAGGCACUGGGUUUGAUCCUCAGCACCACA
rnacentral:tRNA from 1 species